rnacentral:rRNA from 1 species
GAUGAACGCUGGCGGCGUGCCUAAUACAUGCAAGUCGAGCGAACAGACGAGGAGCUUGCUCCUCUGACGUUAGCGGCGGACGGGUGAGUAACACGUGGAUAACCUACCUAUAAGACUGGGAUAACUUCGGGAAACCGGAGCUAAUACCGGAUAAUAUAUUGAACCGCAUGGUUCAAUAGUGAAAGACGGUUUUGCUGUCACUUAUAGAUGGAUCCGCGCCGCAUUAGCUAGUUGGUAAGGUAACGGCUUACCAAGGCAACGAUGCGUAGCCGACCUGAGAGGGUGAUCGGCCACACUGGAACUGAGACACGGUCCAGACUCCUACGGGAGGCAGCAGUAGGGAAUCUUCCGCAAUGGGCGAAAGCCUGACGGAGCAACGCCGCGUGAGUGAUGAAGGUCUUCGGAUCGUAAAACUCUGUUAUUAGGGAAGAACAGAUGUGUAAGUAACUAUGCACGUCUUGACGGUACCUAAUCAGAAAGCCACGGCUAACUACGUG